CCGUAACUAUAACGGUCCUAAGGUAGCGAAAUUCCUUGUCGGGUAAGUUCCGACCCGCACGAAAGGCGUAAUGAUUUGGGCACUGUCUCAACAAUGCACCCGGUGAAAUUGAAAUACCAGUGAAGAUGCUGGUUACCUGCGCCAGGACGGAAAGACCCCAUGGAGCUUUACUCCAGCUUGAUACUGGGAUUCGGUAUUGCAUGUACAGGAUAGGUGGGAGACGAAGAGGUGAUGACGCCAGUUGUCACGGAGUCGAUGUUGGGAUACCACCCCUGCAGUACUGGGUUUCUAACCUGCGGCCGUGACCCGGCCGGGGGACAAUGUCUGGUGGGGAGUUUGACUGGGGCGGUCGCCUCCGAAAGGGUAUCGGAGGCGCUCAAAGGUUCCCUCAGAAUGGUUGGAAACCAUUCGAAGAGUGCAAAGGCAGAAGGGAGCUUGACUGCGACACCGACGGGUGGAGCAGGUACGAAAGUAGGACUUAGUGAUCCGGUGGUAUAAAGUGGGAUUGCCAUCGCUCAACGGAUAAAAGCUACCCUGGGGAUAACAGGCUUAUCACUCCCAAGAGUUCACAUCGACGGAGUGGUUUGGCACCUCGAUGUCGGCUCAUCGCAUCCUGGGGCUGUAGUAGGUCCCAAGGGUUGGGCUGUUCGCCCAUUAAAGCGGUACGCGAGCUGGGUUCAGAACGUCGUGAGACAGUUCGGUCCCUAUCCGGCGUGGGCGUAGGAUAUUUGAGAGGAGCUGUCCUUAGUACGAGAGGACCGGGAUGGACUGACCUCUGGUGUACCGGUUGGGUAUCAAACCCAUGGCCGGGUAGCCAAGUCGGGAAGGGAUAAACGCUGAAGGCAUCUAAGCGUGAAGCCCCCCUCAAGAUGAGAUAUCCCAUUCGAAAGAAGUAAGACCCCUUGAAGACGACGAGGUAGAUAGGGCAGAGGUGGAAGCGUAGUAAUACGUGAAGCUGACUGUUACUAAUCGGUCGAGGGCUUAACCAA
rnacentral:rRNA from 1 species